UUGUCCACACAAGAAUAUCACGUGUAUAAAAAUAAAAAACGAAAACCAAUUGCACAACAAACCAGCUGGAAUAUUAAUAUUAUAUUGAAGAGAAUUAAUUAUAUGAUCGAAAAUACUUGCCAUCUUUCUUUAGGAGUAGAAACUCUCCAGUCACAAUUUGACAAGUGCGUAGAGAUUUUUCUUUUUGUAUUUGUGAUGAAUUAUUUUCAUAUAUAUGUCAAACUGUGAUGUGCAAAAAUGUCUCGUUCUAGUCUUCUAGAGAAGGAAGGAGCAGCACUGUCCUGAUAUGAUAUAAGAAACGUGAUAAACGUAUUGCUGAUGGUGAGCUUGGUGUUGACAGCACGGGCAGUGUUGGUUGGAGAAGAAAUGGUAAAGAUGGAUGAUGAUGAUGAUGAUGAUGAGUAGUAGUAAAUGAUGUGCCGCUGGUUGGUGUUGAGCUUAUCAAGAGGGCUCUUAGCUUAGCUAGUGGAGUGAUGAACUUGGAAAUAAAGGGAAUAAAGGGGUCACUAGCAGUUGUGGUCCCAUUUUCCUUGCUGGUUCAUUCGCGGCCAUAAAUGCAUAAGAAUAUUGUUACUCUCAUUAUAUUGUAUGUUUAUUUCUCUCGUUACAUGACCUAACAAUUACUCAAACACAGAGAGAGAGAGAGAGAGAGAGAGAGAGAGAGUUAUUUUUGGUUUUCUGGGGCAAAAGCAAUUCAUCAAAACAAGCAAGCAUGGGUGGGGAGGAGGAUGAGUGUAGAGAGACGCUGUUGAAGAAGGAAUACUAUGAAAACUGCUCGGGCUGUAAGGUUGAGCAGUCUAAAGACUUGCAAAGAGGCCUCCCUAUUAGAAAUGUUGUGGCUAUAUAUAUUAUCGUACUCACCGCCACGCUGCCAGUAUCAUCCCUCUUUCCAUUUAUUUAUUUUAUGAUCAGGGAUUUUCAUAUUGCAAACAGAGAGGAAGAUAUUGGGUACUAUGCUGGGUAUGUAGGGGCUUCGUAUAUGCUUGGCAGAACAUUGACAUCAGUUGCUUGGGGAAUGGUGGCUGAUCGCUAUGGUCGCAAACCCGUCAUAAUAAUUGGGACUAUUGCCGUGGUUAUUUUGAACACCCUCUUUGGGCUCAGUGUGAAUUUCUGGAUGGCCAUUUCUACAAGAUUUCUUCUUGGAUGUUUGAAUGGUAUAUUAGGUCCAAUCAAGGCAUAUGCAAGUGAAGUCUUUCGUGAAGAACACCAAGCUAUUGGAAUGUCAGCAGUUAGCACAGCGUGGGGUAUUGGAUUAAUCAUUGGCCCAGCUUUGGGAGGUUUCUUGGCCCAGCCUGCAGAGAAAUAUCCAAAUAUAUUUACCCAAAGCUCUAUAUUCGGGAGGUUUCCCUACUUCUUGCCUUGCCUAAGCAUAUCUGUUUUUGCAUUUGGAGGAGCCAUUUCUUGUUGCUGGCUUCCAGAAACUUUACACAAGCACAAUGGAAAGACUAAAUUAUGCGAUGAUUCCUUUCAAGCAUUGGAAACUGCAUCCUCCGGAUUUGAUGCAAAUGAAAGAAAUCAAAAAAAUGAAGAACAAAUACCCAAGGAAAGCCUUUUAAAGAACUGGCCCUUAAUGUCAUCAAUCCUUGUCUAUUCUGUUUUUUCACUUCAUGACAUGGCUUAUACAGAGAUAUUCUCAUUAUGGGCCGAGAGUCCCCGAAAGUUGGGGGGUUUGAGCUUUUCAACUGAGGACGUUGGUGAAAUUCUUGCAAUCUCAGGUGUUGGUCUUUUUGUAUUUCAAAUGUCCUUAUACCCAUAUGUGCAAAAGCUUCUUGGUUCUAUAAUGAUUGCUCGCAUUGGAGGGGUUUUAUCAAUACCUCUGCUGUUAAGUUUUCCAUUUAUAGCAAAGUUGUCGGGGUUCAUCCUCUCCCUAUUGAUAAAUAUUGCAUCCAUGAUCAAGAAUGUCUUAUCUGUUGCGAUUGUAACUGGCCUGUUCACUCUCCAAAACAAUGCUGUGGACCAAAAACAAAGAGGUGCUGCUAAUGGCCUUGCCAUGACUGCAAUGUCUCUGUUCAAGGCAGUUGGUCCAGCUAGUGCCGGUGCCCUGGGGUGUUUUUCACAAGGUGGGAUUCGAACGCUGGACCUCACUGAGGCCAGCUAACAUUCGCCCACUUGCAGGCCUAGCCAGGAUAUCCACUAGACCAAACCCCUUGGGUUUUCUUGGGCAGAGAAACGCCAGAAUGCUGUCAUCCUUCCGGGUGUGCAGGUGGUUUUCUUCAUCCUAAAUGUGGUUGAGGCAAUCGCAGUUCUGAUGACAUUUAAACCGUUUCUUACUCAACGUCUGUAAAUGGAAGUUUAUGCCAAGUCUAAGAAAAUUCUUCAAAAAAUUUAAGGGGCAGUUCUUUCAAUAAUGAACUAUUGUCCAAACAUGGCUAGCUAUGACCAUUUUAUAUUUGGUGUAUCCGCGGAUAAUCCUGCUAGAGAAAUACUUUGUAAAUAUCUUAUCGUUUUUAAAAAAAAAAAAAAAAAAAGAAUCCAAAAUUUAGACUUGUAGCUCUAAUGACAAAUAAAUAUAGGGUAAAGAAAAAUAAGUCUGAUACUAGAAGAAAUGAGAACGCCUACAUAUAACCCCAUUACCGGAAGGAGUAACAAGAG